rnacentral:rRNA from 1 species
ACGGGUGCGUAACGCGUAUGCAACCUACCUUAAUCAGGGGGAUAGCCCGAAGAAAUUCGGAUUAACACCGCAUAAAAACACAGGAUAGCAUUAUCCAAUGUUCAAAUAUUUAUAGGAUUAAGAUGGGCAUGCGUGUCAUUAGCUAGUUGGCGGGGUAACGGCCCACCAAGGCGACGAUGACUAGGGGAUCUGAGAGGAUGACCCCCCACACUGGUACUGAGACACGGACCAGACUCCUACGGGAGGCAGCAGUAAGGAAUAUUGGUCAAUGGAGGCAACUCUGAACCAGCCAUGCCGCGUGCAGGAAGACUGCCCUAUGGGUUGUAAACUGCUUUUAUCCGGGAAUAAACCUUUCUACGUGUAGAGAGCUGAAUGUACCGGAAGAAUAAGGAUCGGCUAACUCCGUGCCAGCAGCCGCGGUAAUACGGAGGAUCCAAGCGUUAUCCGGAUUUAUUGGGUUUAAAGGGUGCGUAGGCGGCCUGUUAAGUCAGAGGUGAAAGACGGUAGCUCAACUAUCGCAGUGCCUUUGAUACUGAUGGGCUUGAAUGAACUAGAGGUAGGCGGAAUGAGACAAGUAGCGGUGAAAU